rnacentral:lncRNA from 1 species
CCCUCAUCUUGUGUCUUACCUGAGAAUCUUGGUUUGGAUCUGGGACAGAGUCUAAUGCACAGAGCUGAGAGGGAGAGCCAGUUCUUAUCCAAUAACUUUCCUAGUGGACUGAACCCAAAAAGUGUCUGGAAGGCAAUGUGGUUUGCUGGUUUUGUUUUUCAUUUUAUUAUUAUUAUUUUUUUUUUUGCUCCUCCACCCUCUUCCCUAAACACUUCUUCCCUUAAAACCAUUAAACCAGUAAGUCAAAUGCGGUAUGGUUGUUGUUUUUUCAUUUGUUGAAUUGAAAAUCACACGUGGGGCAUAAAGUGACUAACUAAAUGACAGUGAGCCUUUAAAAAGAAUGCUGGCCACUUGACUAAAAAUGGUGAACUUUCCUGAUAGAGGGAAAAUCAAGCGGCAGGCUACUUGGAGACCCCCGUUUGAAUUUGUUUCUUCACUUACUACCUCUGUGGUCCUGUGCAAGCCCGAUCCCUUCUGUGUCCCCAGGAGCCGAAUCGUGUCAUUCUUAAGAGAAACCGUCUCUAAGGCCCGGUCCCCUGGACUAGGUCGGAUCUUGAGUUGUAAGCCUGUCAUGGCAACCUAAACAUCCCCCUAGACUGUGAGCUCGGUGAGCAGGGUACCGCAUCUGUGGAUUUUACUGCUCCGUGUCCAGAAGCGAGGACAGACGCUUUGUUGAAUGAAACCUGCCUAGGUGUUCUUGCACAGUGAGGUCGAAUUCCCAGAGAGUCCCUCGGGAAAGGGCGAGCGACCAAUCUCAAAUCACACAGGACCAGGGUAGUGAGCGCGCUCGGGAAAGGCGGUGUCGGUUCAAAGUUGUUUGCUACAGAUGGUUCUUCUAACCCGGCUGGAGUCACAUCCUCCGUGGCUCGGAGAGCUCCCGGGAUUUACAUAAGGCAGGGUGAAUCACACCGUUGGAAACGGACAAGGCAAGAAGACCCGCCCCCGUUCACGCCGGGCGGCGCCCGGAGCUCGAUUGGGGGUUACUCUGAACUUUGCAGGAGGGACU